AUUGAACGCUGGCGGCAUGCCUUACACAUGCAAGUCGAACGGCAGCACGGGUGCUUGCACCUGGUGGCGAGUGGCGAACGGGUGAGUAAUACAUCGGAACAUGUCCUGUAGUGGGGGAUAGCCCGGCGAAAGCCGGAUUAAUACCGCAUACGAUCUACGGAUGAAAGCGGGGGACCUUCGGGCCUCGCGCUAUAGGGUUGGCCGAUGGCUGAUGAGCUAGUUGGGGGGGUAAAGGCCUACCAAGGCGACGAUCAGUAGCUGGUCUGAGAGGACGACCAGCCACACUGGGAGUGAGACACGGCCCAGACUCCUACGGGAGGCAGCAGUGGGGAAUUUUGGACAAGGGGCGAAAGCCUGAUCCAGCAAUGCCGCGUGUGUGAAGAAGGCCUUCGGGUUGUAAAGCACUUUUGUCCGGAAAGAAAUCCUUGGCCCUAAUACGGUCGGGGGAUGACGGUACCGGAAGAAUAGGCACCGGCUAACUACGUG
rnacentral:rRNA from 1 species